UACGUAGGGUGCAAGCGUUACUCGGAAUUACUGGGCGUAAAGCGUGCGCAGGCGGUUGUGCAAGGCCGAUGUGAAAUCCCCGGGCUUAACCUGGGAAUGGCAUUGGUGACUGCACGGCUAGAGUGUGUCAGAGGGGGGUAGAAUUCCACGUGUAGCAGUGAAAUGCGUAGAGAUGUGGAGGAAUACCGAUGGCGAAGGCAGCCCCCUGGGAUAACACUGACGCUCAUGCACGAAAGCGUGGGGAGCAAACAGG
rnacentral:rRNA from 1 species